rnacentral:snoRNA from 1 species
GAAAACCAAUAAUCGUGCGGAUUAUACAAACCAGGACUAUAAAACCGUGUUGCUAGUGCGCCUUUCUGUGGUGUAAUUUCUAGCGUCAAGUCCAUCGGAGAGAACAUCUCGUUCGUCUUAGCGCCCUUUUGUGGGUCGUCAGCAGGGCUCGCAAGGGCCCUGCCAUAUCGAUCUGCAAGGGCCGGUAGAACGUACAUGU